CUCAGUAGUCCACUAGUCCACUCGGUAGUUCAGUAGUUUAUAAUACAUAAGCUCAUUGUACAUUGUUUCAUUUAUUUAACAUUGUCCUCAUUCUUGUUUUAUAAUAAAGAAGAAGAACUGAGAUGUUCUUGUGCAGCACAGUCAGAAGAUAAACUGAGGUGAAGACUUUGUAUCAGGUGUAAUCUGAAGGAGAAGUUGAGCUCCAGAAUGAGUGUCUCUGGGGAACAGGACACACAGGAAGCUGAGAGACUGUUUCAGGGUAAGAGAUCUGACUCUCCUGAACCCAGCUGUGUGUCCAUGAAGAGUGACCAGUCAAUAGACCAUCCACUACUCUUCAGAAAGAAGGACUGUUCUCCUGAACCCAGCUGUGUGUCUAUUAAGAGUGACCUGUCAAUGGACUUUCCAUUAAACUUCAGAAAGGAGGACUGCUCUCCUGAACUGAGAGUCAAGCAGAAGGCAUCAGACACUAGCAGAAGGAAUAUGGAGGUCAUACUCAAGGAGCUGGAGCAGAAAGUCAUCUCUCUCGUAAAGAAACAGCUGAAGAGGUUUGAGAAGAUCCUGAAGAGUCUGGAUUACCCAGCAUGCUCUGGGAGAGAGGAGGAGGAUGAAGAGGAUCAGAGCGCUGUCAGAGAGGGAGCGCUGAAGGGUCUGGAUUACCCAGCAUGCUCUGGGAGAGAGGAUGAGGAUGAGGAGGAGGAGGAUGAGGAGGAGGAUGAGGAGGAUCAGAGCGCUGUCAGAGAGGGAGCACUGAAGAUCACACUGCACGUCCUGAAGAACAUGAACCAGACAGACCUCGCUAACACACUGCUGACCAGUAAGACAUGAGGGUUAUAUAGGGCUGGGUGAUA
rnacentral:lncRNA from 1 species